rnacentral:rRNA from 1 species
AGGUAACGGCUUACCAAGACGAUGAUGGGUAGGGGUCCUGAGAGGGAGAUCCCCCACACUGGUACUGAGACACGGACCAGACUCCUACGGGAGGCAGCAGUGAGGAAUAUUGGACAAUGGGCGCAAGCCUGAUCCAGCCAUGCCGCGUGCAGGAAGAAGCAUCUAUGGUGUGUAAACUGCUUUUGUACAGGAAGAAACACUCCCUCGUGAGGGAGCUUGACGGUACUGUAAGAAUAAGGAUCGGCUAACUCCGUGCCAGCAGCCGCGGUAAUACGGAGGAUCCAAGCGUUAUCCGGAAUCAUUGGGUUUAAAGGGUCCGUAGGCGGUUUGAUAAGUCAGUGGUGAAAGCCCAUCGCUCAACGAUGGAACGGCCAUUGAUACUGUCAGACUUGAAUUACAAGGAAGUAACUAGAAUAUGUAGUGUAGCGGUGAAAUGCUUAGAUAUUACAUGGAAUACCAAUUGCGAAGGCAGGUUACUACUUGUGGAUUGACGCUGAUGGACGAAAGCGUGGGGAGCGAACAGGAUUAGAUACCCUGGUAGUCCACGCCGUAAACGAUGG